rnacentral:rRNA from 1 species
AAUAUUGGACAAUGGGGGGAACCCUGAUCCAGCCAUGCCGCGUGUGUGAAGAAGGUCUUCGGAUUGUAAAGCACUUUAAGUUGGGAGGAAGAGUUGUAGGCUAAUACCUUGCAAUUUUGACGUUACCAACAGAAUAAGCACCGGCUAACUUCGUGCCAGCAGCCGCGGUAAUACGAAGGGUGCAAGGGUUAAUCGGAAUUACUGGGCGUAAAGCGCGCGUAGGUGGUUCGUUAAGUUGGAAGUGAAAGCCCCGGGCUCAACCUGGGAAUUGCAUCCAAAACUGUCUGACUAGAGUAUGGCAGAGGGUGGUGGAAUUUCCUGUGUAGCGGUGAAAUGCGUAGAUAUAGGAAGGGACACCAGUGGCGAAGGCGACCACCUGGGCUAAUACUGACACUGAGGUGCGAAAGCGUGGGGAGCAAACAGG